rnacentral:rRNA from 1 species
GAUGAACGCUAGCGGAAGGCAUAAUACAUGCAAGUCGAACGGAUGUAGCAAUACAUUAGUGGCGCACGGGUGCGUAACGCGUAUGCAACCUACCUUCAUCAGGGGGAUAACUACCCGAAAGGGUGGCUAACACCGCAUAAUACUAUUGAGUGGCAUCACUUGAUAUUUAAAUCUGAGGAGGAUGAAGAUGGGCAUGCGUCUGAUUAGCUAGUUGGUGUGGUAACGGCGCACCAAGGCGACGAUCAGUAGGGGAACUGAGAGGUUGGUCCCCCACACCGGCACUGAGAUACGGGCCAGACUCCUACGGGAGGCAGCAGUAGGGAAUAUUGGUCAAUGGUGGGAACACUGGACCAGCCAUUCCGCGUGCAGGAAGAAGGGUCUCUGACUUGUAAACUGCUUUAGCAAGGGAAGAAAAAGCUCAUGCGUGAGAAAUUGACGGUACCUUGAGAAUAAGCACCGGCUAACUACGUGCCAGCCGCCGCGGUAAUAC